AGUGAACGCUGGCGGUAGGCCUAACACAUGCAAGUCGAACGGCAGCACAGUAAGAGCUUGCUCUUACGGGUGGCGAGUGGCGGACGGGUGAGGAAUACAUCGGAAUCUACUUUUUCGUGGGGGAUAACGUAGGGAAACUUACGCUAAUACCGCAUACGACCUACGGGUGAAAGCAGGGGAUCUUCGGACCUUGCGCGAUUGAAUGAGCCGAUGUCGGAUUAGCUAGUUGGCGGGGUAAAGGCCCACCAAGGCGACGAUCCGUAGCUGGUCUGAGAGGAUGAUCAGCCACACUGGAACUGAGACACGGUCCAGACUCCUACGGGAGGCAGCAGUGGGGAAUAUUGGACAAUGGGCGCAAGCCUGAUCCAGCCAUACCGCGUGGGUGAAGAAGGCCUUCGGGUUGUAAAGCCCUUAUGUUGGGAAAGAAAAGCAGCAGGUUAAUACCCCGCUGUUCUGACGGUACCCAAAGAAUAAGCACCGGCUAACUUCGUG
rnacentral:rRNA from 1 species